rnacentral:rRNA from 1 species
CAGGCCUAACACAUGCAAGUCGAACGAUACCUUUCGCGGUAUAGUGGUUCACGGGUGCGUAACGCGUGGGAAUCUGCCCUUGGGUUCGGGAUAACCGUUGGAAACGACGGCUAAUACCGGAUGAUGACGUAAGUCCAAAGAUUUAUCGCCCAGGGAUGAGCCCGCGUAGGAUUAGCUAGUUGGUGUGGUAAAGGCGCACCAAGGCGACGAUCCUUAGCUGGUCUGAGAGGAUGAUCAGCCACACUGGGACUGAGACACGGCCCAGACUCCUACGGGAGGCAGCAGUGGGGAAUAUUGGACAAUGGGCGAAAGCCUGAUCCAGCAAUGCCGCGUGAGUGAUGAAGGCCUUAGGGUUGUAAAGCUCUUUUACCCGGGAUGAUAAUGACAGUACCGGGAGAAUAAGCUCCGGCUAACUCCGUGCCAGCAGCCGCGGUAAU